UUAACAUAAAUAGUCAUUUAAAAUGAAAUACGAUAAAUAAAGAUAAAAAUUUUAAGUCUUUUAUAAAAUAAAGUACAAAUAUAUGAAAAUGUGAUAUUUACAAAAUAUUUGUCAAUUGAAAAAAAAACAAAAAUAAACCCGCGCUUUGAAAGCGCGGAUCAAAAUCUAGUUUUCAUAUUAAAAGGCGAGAAACAAAAUGGUGAAAGCUAGAUGCUUAAGUUAAUUAAAUGGUAAAGGCCCAGUAAUUAAGCAGCCCAAAUACAGAAAACUUUGCAUGCGAGUCGGAGGAACCGGAUUCAGGACCGGACCUGACCGGAGUUACCAAGAGACAAUUAGUUCAGAGGAGCAGACGAUCAAAGAAAGAUGAGGACUGUGAGGAAUAGAUGAUCAAUGAAAGAUAAGUGAAUGUUCUAUCUUUUAUAUCAAGAUUCACUUUUUCGUUUAACCUUUGUUUGUUUCUUCUUUAAGUCGGCAAGAUUCUUAUAUAUCUGAAAGUAUCAGACUAAUCCACGGGUUGAGAAUUGAGAAGUACAUUGACUAUUUUCCCUAAAGAAUACCAAAAAAUAUUUUUAUUUAAAAUUAAAAAAAACUUUUAAAAUUGAACAAUAGGUGAGGAUACGACAUCGUUUAACAAUGGUACAUGUUUUCCUGAGUUUAAUAACCUAAAUCUUUUUCCAUCUUCGUGAGUACGGCGAGUUUAGAAUCGUCUUUCUCCUUUUUGUGUUAUCUUUUUUCUCUAGAAUAGCUCGUUUCUUCGUCUCCAAUCAAGCUUGAUUUAUCGCUAGCCUCCAGUCUUUUUUCACGCUAUCAAUCGCUGGCGGUUUCAGCAUCUUCAUGUUAUUCACCAGCACAACCGUUGAUUUCACCUUCUUGAGCCACCGGCGAACUUCUUUACCGUCUGAACCACAACACAGCUUAUAUCGCCGCGUUAACCACCUUCAGAUUGGUAAGCGUACUUGUUUCCAACGAUUGUCUUUCUUUGGGAAGUCUUGGGCUUCCUCUCAUAUGCGAGAGCUCUGUUUACCAUUGUGCUCUGGAAAGUUUGGGAAUAAAAUGGGGAAGAAAUCUAAUCGGUUGGACACAACAACAACUUACACCGGAGACUGGCCGGAAAUAGUCGUCCUCCGUAAUUUAACUCGGGCUCUAUUGUCAGUUCAAAAACACAGAGUUCAAGAAUGGCUGCAGCCUUAGGCAUGUUUAGUCACGGUCCAGAAAAUGAUGAUAAAAGAUGGUGGGCUUAGAUCAUGUAAGUUGCAGCCCAAGUGACUAAACUAUCUAAGACCGCAUCAAAUUCAUUAAAUCGUUAAUGAAACGCAGAGUUUCGAGAUGGUAGGACAGGUGUCGCACUCACAAUCAAUGACUUUUUGACCUGGCGCUGACGUGGAUGCACAGGAGUGAAGCAAACAUUUUUUUAUAUAUAUAGAUACUAGAUUUCCACCCGCAC